rnacentral:rRNA from 1 species
GAACCUGAAACCGUUAUGGGGGAAGCGUAUUGGGUCAAAUUGAUUUGGGGGAGUGCUGCUGUUCAACGGGGUGAUUCCCGUGUACUCAGUGCAUUUUCUUACCCGUCGUGUGCUUUGGAUGGUCGAUUUUGGGCUGUCUGGGGCUGAGGGAUCCCCUUUUAUAGGGUGAAGACGAUGGGGCGCUGACACGAUACGACCCGUCUUGAAACACGGACCAAGGAGUUCAGCAUGUGUGCGAGUCAAAGGGUGAUUAAACCUGGGGGCGCAGUGAAAGCAACUUUUGUGUAAGGGAAUCCAACAUUAAGCAGUUUCAGGCGGCAUACGAUCGUUGAUUGUAGGACUGACCUAGAGCACAUGUGCUGAGACCCGAAAGAUGGUGAACUAUGCCGGAGUAGGGCGAAGCCAGAGGAAACUCUGGUGGAGGCUCGUAGCGGUGCUGACGUGCAAAUCGCUCGUCUGACUCGGGUAUAGGGGCGAAAGACUAAUCGAACCAUCUAGUAGCUGGUUUCCUCCGAAGUUUCUCUCAGGAUAGCAGGCCGACGAAUAAGCAUGAAGUCUCAGUUGUUGUGUGCGGUAAAGCGAAUGAUUAGCGUAUUUGGGGGUGAUUAGCCUUCAGACGAUUCUCAAACUUUAAAUGCGCACGGAUGUUGCCGCUUGGGUGGGCGGUAUCAAUUAAAAAACGUCGGCCUUGUGGGCCACUUUUGGUAAGC